rnacentral:rRNA from 1 species
AUUGAACGCUGGCGGCAGGCCUAACACAUGCAAGUCGAGCGGAGCGGCGGACGGGUGAGUAGUGUAUGGGGACCUGCCUGGUAGAGGGAGAUAACGGCGGGAAACGGGCGCUAAUAACGCAUACUAUCCGAUGAGCCGAGGUUGGAUAAGCUAGUUGGUGGGGUAAAGGCAUACCAAGGCGACGCUCCGUAGCUGGUCUGAGAGGCUGAGCAGCCACACUGGAACGUAGACACGGCCCAGACUCCUACGUGAGGCAGCAGUGGGGAAUAUUGGACAAUGGGCGAAAGCCUGAUCCAGCCAUGCCGCGUGUGUGAAGAAGGUCUUCGGAUUGUAAAGCACUGUUAGUUGGGAGGCGUUACCAACAGAAUAAGCCCCGGCUAACUUCGUGCCAGCCGCCGCGGUAAUAC